rnacentral:rRNA from 1 species
UACGUAGGGUGCAAGCGUUGUCCGGAAUUAUUGGGUGUAAAGGGCUCGUAGGCGGUUUGUCACGUCGGGAGUGAAAACUCGGGGCUUAACCCCGAGCCUGCUUCCGAUACGGGCAGACUAGAGGUAUGCAGGGGAGAACGGAAUUCCUGGUGUAGCGGUGAAAUGCGCAGAUAUCAGGAGGAACACCGGUGGCGAAGGCGGGUCUCUGGGCCGAUACUGACGCUGAGGAGCGAAAGCGUGGGGAGCGAACAGG